rnacentral:rRNA from 1 species
ACAUCCAGAGAAUUUAGCAGAGAUGCUUUAGUGCCUUCGGGAACUCUGAGACAGGUGCUGCAUGGCUGUCGUCAGCUCGUGUUGCGAAAUGUUGGGUUAAGUCCCGNAACGAGCGCAACCCUUAUCCUUUGUUGCCAGCACGUAAUGGUGGGAACUCAAAGGAGACUGCCGGUGAUAAACCGGAGGAAGGUGGGGAUGACGUCAAGUCAUCAUGGCCCUUACGAGUAGGGCUACACACGUGCUACAAUGGCGCAUACAAAGAGAAGCGACCUCGCGAGAGCAAGCGGACCUCAUAAAGUGCGUCGUAGUCCGGAUUGGAGUCUGCAACUCGACUCCAUGAAGUCGGAAUCGCUAGUAAUCGUAAAUCAGAAUGUUACGGUGAAUACGUUCCCGGGCCUUGUACACACCGCCCGUCACACCAUGGGAGUGGGUUGCAAAAGAAGUAGAUAGCUUAACCUUCGGGAGGGCGUUUACCACUUUGUGAUUCAUGACUGGGGUGAAGUCGUAACAAGGUAAGCGUAGUGCU